GAUGAACGCUAGCUACAGGCUUAACACAUGCAAGUCGAGGGGCAGCAUGGUCUUAGCUUGCUAAGGCCGAUGGCGACCGGCGCACGGGUGAGUAACACGUAUCCAACCUGCCGUCUACUCUUGGACAGCCUUCUGAAAGGAAGAUUAAUACGGGAUGGUAUCACGGGCCAGCAUUUUCUCGUGAUUAAAGAACUUCGGUAUAAGAUGGGGAUGCGUUCCAUUAGAUAGUAGGCGGGGUAACGGCCCACCUAGUCUACGAUGGAUAGGGGUCCUGAGAGGAAGGUCCCCCACAUUGGAACUGAGACACGGUCCAA
rnacentral:rRNA from 1 species